GACGUAGGGGACGAGCGUUGUCCGGAUUCAUUGGGCGUAAAGCGCGCGUAGGCGGUUGCGCAAGUCGGUUGUGAAAAUCCGGGGCUCAACCCCGGACCUGCAUCCGAUACUGCGUGACUAGAGGUAGGUAGGGGAGAUCGGAAUUCCUGGUGUAGCGGUGAAAUGCGCAGAUAUCAGGAGGAACACCGGUGGCGAAGGCGGAUCUCUGGGCCGUAACUGACGCUGAGGAGCGAAAGCAUGGGGAGCGAACAGG
rnacentral:rRNA from 1 species